AUUGAACGCUGGCGGCAGGCCUAACACAUGCAAGUCGAGCGGAUGAAGGGAGCUUGCUCCUGGAUUCAGCGGCGGACGGGUGAGUAAUGCCUAGGAAUCUGCCUGGUAGUGGGGGAUAACGUCCGGAAACGGGCGCUAAUACCGCAUACGUCCUGAGGGAGAAAGUGGGGGAUCUUCGGACCUCACGCUAUCAGAUGAGCCUAGGUCGGCUUAGCUAGUUGGUGGGGUAAAGGCCUACCAAGGCGACGAUCCGUAACUGGUCUGAGAGGAUGAUCAGUCACACUGGAACUGAGACACGGUCCAGACUCCGACGGGAGGCAGCAGUGGGGAAUAUUGGACAAUGGGCGAAAGCCUGAUCCAGCCAUGCCGCGUGUGUGAAGAAGGUCUUCGGAUUGUAAAGCACUUUAAGUUGGGAGGAAGAGCAGUAAGUUAAUACCUUGCUGUUUUGACGUUACCAACAGAAUAAGCACCGGCUAACUUCGUG
rnacentral:rRNA from 1 species